rnacentral:lncRNA from 1 species
AGAAGAGAGAGCCUACAUGUGGUGUCUAUAUCUUAGUAGCGUGUGUGUGUGUGUGUGUGUGUGUGUGUGUGUCAGACGGAUAGCAGUGACAGCACGCCAUUGCUCUAAGCUGCAUAAUUCAUGAGGAGACAGAGAGGAGGGCUUGUUAUCUCAUGCUAGAAGAGCAGGGGUGAGCUGCUCUGUGAAUGCGGCAGACACAUCCCUGACCCCGACACUGCACAGUCAUCCUCCAACAACAUUAACAGGCAGAUAGACACAACAAACUUUCUGUGACAUCAGGACAUGGUGACGGCGAUGAUGAUGGUGGCAUAUUUUUAUCAAUAUUUAUUAGCAAUUCAUGUGACUUCAUUCUCCAUAUGAGAGUCGUCUUUAAGCUGCCAAUAAUUAUCUUUGAACUUUGUCUGUUUUCCUAGUGCCCAUGUCCUAAAGGUCCCUCUCUCUUCUCUCCAAAAAGCACGCUGUCUUUCUCCAUCUAGCUCCUGCUGAGUUGUUCUAACAUCCUUGUUCCAGAAUUUUCCUUUUAAUUUCCUUUCUAUAUCCUUGUUCGGUUCUUCCAGCUCUGUCCCAGUAAUGGAUUCAAAGAGGCAGAAAGAGUCCCCAUCACACACACCCCCAUCUCUGCAGCCUCUGUGACAUCACAGAUGUUUCCAUAGCAACCGGCCUGCCUCCAGUACUCUUCUGUCUGCAUCUACUUUUAAAGAGGUAAACCAGUAUGGAGAGUGAGUGCUGGUCCUUUUGGAGGAUUUAGAAGAGUGGGGUUAAACCCAUUUUUGUCCACCAUAUGCCACUCAUCUAUGUAUCGCAUCAGUCAUCAUCGUGUCGUUAUUGUUUAAAAAAACUAACAA